rnacentral:RNase_P_RNA from 3 species
UGAGUGUCUUAGACGGUCGCGCCACCACAAAACUUUAGCAGUUUUAGGUGUCGAGGAACGUCCGGGCUCCACAGAGCACGAUGGUGGCUAACGGCCACCCGGGGUGACCCGCGAGAUAGUGCCACAGAAAACAGACCGCCAGCCUUUGCUGGUAAGGGUGAAAAGGUGGUGUAAGAGACCACCAGGUUCGCAGGUGACUGUGAAUGCUUGGUAAACCUCAUCGGGAGCAAGACCAAAUAAGUGGACGCAUAGGCUGCUCGUCCAGUCCACGGGUAGGUUGCUUGAGGCCAAUGGCAACAUUGGUCCUAGAUAAAUGGCCGUCACCGCUUAGGCGGGACAGAACCCGGCGUAUCGAGGCACUCAACUU